AAAAAUUCUCUUAAAAAAAAGCGAACCCAUUUUCUUUAAACUCUUUCAAUUAAAUUGUCUCUUUCUCUCUCAAAUUUUAAUCUCUUCUAUAAAGAAAAACAAAUUCCACGUUAAUCCAGUUAAUCUUGACAAUACGAAAUUGGGGCUACCAAGAAUUGGAAGAAAGAAUAAAAAUAAAAAUUGAAUAUUUAAGAGCCAAGUUUCUUUCCCGCCAACAUAUGCAGACAUUUGCAAUUCACAUAUUACAUUCUGACAGCUUGCCUUUUUUACUCUAACACAGACUUUCACAGUUUGAGAAGAGAAAGAUUAAAACUGGACAAUGUGAUUAAUUGCAAGGUGUUAAAUUUCCUGUUAAAUAACAUCCAUUUAUCAUCUCAUUUUUAGAGCCAUUUGUUGAGGUUUGUUUUUAGCUACUAGGAAAUUACUCUUACUAUCCAAAGUAGGUUGUUACUGUUUUGUUUUCUGUCCGUGAAAAGUUACGUUGAUUUGAUGGAGAAAAACAAAAUGGCUUCUCUUUGAUGGUUAACCUUUUAUUCUUUCUUUCAACAAUCAAAUGUACAUGAUGAAAGUUUGGCAUGUUCAACUAUCUCCCUAAUUAACAACAACGAUUAUGGUGAUAAUGAUGAUGAUGAUUACAGUCCUUGGUGGUCAGUUUUUGAUACAGAGAUUUAUAAUUGAGAUUGUCCAACAAGCAACAUUUUCUUUCUUGACACAAUGUUGUGGGUGUUCUAGAUGAUCAUAAUUAAGAUGAUGAUGAUGAUGAUGAUGCCUUCGCCUUUUCUUUUCACGGUUACCAUUCCCUUUAAUGAAUAAUCAUCAUGAAAGUAUUCAGGAUGUACAUUAAUUGAAAAACAAAUAAACAUCAAACAAUGAAGUGUGUGUGUGUUUGUGUGUUGGUUGGCUCAUCAUCAUUGGAAAGUAAAGUUUUUUGAAAUUCUGGGUUUCUUUUUCUUUUUUUGGUACAACAACAAAGGAAACAAGCGACUUAUUCAGCAAUAAAAUAUUCUGAAGAUGAUGCAAGGAGAUGAAGAAAAAACAAACUACAGAGAAAGGAAAAGAAAGAGAGGAUUAAAGAGAAGGAUUUAAAGCCAAGAAAUUAUUUUGUUAAAGUUACAAGUGACAAAGAAGAAAAUGAGGGAAUGGAAAAAGUUACCAUGUUAGACAAUCAUCGUCAACCUUAUCAUCUUCUUAUGGUGUAUUAGUUUAAAUGCUUCAAAUCACAAUUACUUGAAACUUUCUCUACCACCACCACCACCGCCAUCAUCAUCAUCAUCAUCAUCAUCAUCACAGUUAACAAACAAACAUGCGAUAUCUAAUCUCCCCUUGAAUUGUUUCAUUUGUCAAUAUCUUAUGAUAAUAUUUUUGGAGGUAAAAACAAGUUGCACUGAAACUUUGUUUACUUCUCUAACUUUUACCCAUCUCUCUUUCUGUCUUAUUAUAAUAUUUGCCUGAGAUGUAUUGAAAUUAUCAUUUUACCAGAAUAUUUCGACAGUUAGACAGAAAAUGUAUGUCUCUCUGUGGUUGACGGUUUGAUGACUAUGGUUUUACGGUGAAAUAUGCACUUUGGUAAAGGUCAUGAGGCAAUAGAUCAUCUAGGAAAUGAGUUUAAAUAACUUAGCAAAAAGAGAGGGAAAAGACAAAGCCAAAAGUAAAGAGAAGGAGCAAAAUUGGAAGACAAGGAGGAGGCAAUUAUGUUUACUACUUCAAGUGAUACUCUUCAUAAGUUACAUAUCUCUGUUGGUUUUAUACUUUCCACUGGAGGAUUAUCUGCCGCUCUGUGACAUAGAAAUGCGUGUAUCAGGAAAAUGGAAAGACCUCAGACGUGGCGAAAGAAAAUUCUGAUUGAUCCCAAAACAACAAUAAUCAUCUACCACACAGACAUAAUCGUCAUCAUCUCGUCUUCAACAUCAACAAACACUUCAUCAUCUUUCAUCUGUAUCCCUCUUUCUCUCUCUCUCUCUUCAAUAUGAAUUCUUGUAAACAGACAGUAGGCGAAACUAGAUUGACAAUUGAUUCAGCAGUUAACAGUUAAGAAGGAGGGUGAGGGUUGAGGUGGAGAAGAUGGUGAAAGUCACAAGUCACAUUCACAAACUGUCAAAAAUUAUUGGAUAAUAUUUAUCAGACUUUCAAUUUUUUAUCAUCAUAUGUGAAUAAAAGGCUCUCCCUCUCUCAUAUCAACCACACUUAAGGAUGAUGACAAAGUAUAUUACAUGUAUCACUUGAAUUUGGAAACUUGUGAACCUACAGUUUAUUUUUGGCCUUUGGAGGUAUAAUCAUGUUUUUAUCAUCAUCUUCUCGAUAUUCAAUCUCAAUGCUGAUUCAAUAGACGUCGUAAUUUCUCUCGACCCUGAAAAUUUAGUUUGUUUGACAAUCUUCUUGUUGGUUUGAUCUUCUUUCAUGAUAAUUUCAACCUAUUAUGAUCAACUUGUCACCCGAAGAGGAAGAUGAUGGAAAUACAACAAGAAAGAAACAAAACUGAUAUCAGAUAAAUGUGAUAACUUAUCUAUUCUAUUGCAUGGAGCAGAUAUAAAUAGUAAUUUGGAGAAAAAAAAAUAGGAGAGAAAAGAAAUUUCAAAUUUUAUGAUACAGAAAGAGAGAUAAGAUGAAGAUGAAGAUGAAGAUGGAAAUGAUGAUGACGAAAAACAUAGAAGUUGCAAGAUUAGUUGAAUAUUACAUGUACUCAGAUUGGAAAGGUUACUUUGACUUCUUGCAUACUUUUCAAGUCUCUGUGUUCUGGAGCCUUUUGUUUUACAUCUUCUUCUCUCUUCUCUCCUCUCUUCUCUUUCUCUCUCUCACUCUGUCUCUGUCUAUGUGAUUCUCACCGAUAUCAUCAUCACUCCAACAGACGAAUUAUUUCAUUGAGAGAUUGUUUCGUCAUGUUAAUCUUUUCUUCUUUUUCUCACUUUUUCUUCAUGUAACUGUACUUAUCCUGUAAGGAUGAAAAAGAAGAUCCAAAGAGAGAGAGAGAGAGAGAGAGAGAGAGAGAGAGAGAAUAAGAAAGAAAAGAAAGGAAAACUUGCCAAAAUCUCUGAUCUUAGGCCAAUGUGUGUUAGAGGAAAAAGACAGAGAAAAUGAAAGAGCAGGAAAAUGUUGAUGAGGAUGAUGAGAAAAAAAGACAAGGGACAUUAAGUUUAAUGAACUUUUCUCAUCUCACUUCGCGUUGAGCUUAAUUCACUUCUCAUUUUGUCAUCCUCAUCCUCAUCUCUCUCUCUCUUUCUCUCUUAUGUAGUUAACCCAAAUGUCAACAUGAAACAAACAGUUGAUAAAAUAUCUUGAUUGGUAUUUAAAUAAUUAUUACACUUUAAGCUCAUCAUCUAAUCUCAAGUUAAUAGGAGCAAAAAAGGUUUCUCCAUGUUUAUCGUGUUAAUUGUGGAGAGAAGGAGAAAGUUUUUCCACCAAGAGAAUUGAUUUGAUUCAAUAUAUCACUAAUGUUAUGAUACACUUGAAAUAAUUCAAUCUUAAUCAAACUGUGAUUACCUUGAUCUGAUUUGGUGAGAGAAAGUAUCUGAACCAUCAUCAUUAUCAUCAUCAACUACAAUAUCAACAUUUUCAUGAAAAUCUUUAAAGAGAAAAAGAGAAACAUUUCAAGGCUUUCAAAUGAAUUCGGCGGGAAAAGCCUUUGUUCCCAGUUAACCUUGAGGUGGAAAAAAAGAACUGAAGUUUAAGAAUAUCUUCAAGAUUCCAAGGACAAACUACGGUUCCUCUUAUACUCUCACUCUCACUUGAGCUCAGCUCACAUGCUCUCUCUCUCUCUCUCUCUCUCUCUCUCUCUCUCUCUCUCUCUCUCUCCUCUCUCUCUAUCGUUUCCUCUCUCACAACAAUUCCCAAGCCAUAGUGACCUGUUCAGCUUUACCAUGUAAACACAACAUAAAAAACCGUAAAGCUUUAAACGGAAUCCAAAUGAGGCCCAACCUUUUUUCAUUCAAAUAUUUCAUCAUUUCAAUCAACAAACAAACAAACAUCAUCAAAAAUGAGCUAUUCAAAUCUACUACAAUGAUCCUUCAUAAUAUCACACAAACAACAACAACAACAUGUAAACAUAAGAUCAACAUCUUGACAUGAUAAUAUAUAAUUAAAACGGGAGCAAGAAGAUGAUGAUGUGUAGAUGGUAACAGGAUCAAAGUAAAAAAAAGCCAAAGACUAACCUUAAAUAUGAUAAAAUAAUGGCCACAAUUUGAUGUUUACCAACAAUUAUCGUCUCAUUUGAUUAGUCUCCUUACGUAUGGUGUCUCAUUGGUAAACAAUUACCAAUGAUACGUGAUUAACAUGAUGUUCAUAUGAUUAGUGUGUACAAUAAUCAACUCUCACCUUCACCAUGAUAAUUAUCAUUUAUCAACAUGACGAUGAUGAUUAUCAAUGCAAAUAUCCCGUUGGAUACAAACCCUGUUACCUACACCAGGUAAACCAUGAAGGAGGAGCGGGAACCAGCAAGAGGAUAAUGUUGGUUGAGCAAAGGAACAACAAACAACUUUUGUAACUUUGUAUUAAAGGUAAUGUUUUUUUCUUCAUCAUUUCCAAUCUUAUCUCAUCUUCAUCUCACAGCAGUUUGUCAAAAUCCAGGUAAAUGAACGUGCGUACAUUUGAACGUAAUGAUUUUUAAGCCUUCUGUGUGUCUUUAUUAUUUUUUAGUUAAUGUAUGUUAGUUAGUUUUAAUUACUUCGUUAACUUUAGAAAUACAAGAAAAAAGUCAAGGUUUUUUUCUCUUUUUUCUGUAUUUACCUGUACUUUCCUCUCUCUCUCUCCAUCUCUCCCUCUUGCUUUCAGAUCUGAUGAUGAUGAGAUUUAUGAGCAUGAUGAUUAACUAAUUCAUAUGCACAUAUCUAUGCAAUUGAUUUCUCUUUGUUUAUAUUGUUGAUCAUUUGAUUUUUCUCUCUCAUUAUGACUACUUGCAAUCGAUGAUUGUUCAUCAUUUCAUAUCGAUUUGCAAUCAAUAUUAUGGUUAAUUUUUCGUUAGCUAAAUUUUAUUAUUAAUUUUCGGUUUUAAUUGUAUCAAUUUCUUACUACGUGUCCAUCUUUGAUCGUUUACUAGUCCCAAGUAACUUUUGGUGAGAUUUUUUUUUAGUUUUAGCUGCUCUUUGAUUUAGCAAUUACCUCACAUUGGAUAACAAUUGAACGAUUUUGUAUUAAUUAACUUUUAUUUUUACAGGUAAAAGUGGAGGUGGUUGAUGUGGAUGAUUGAAGAUAAAUGAAGAUAAAUGAAGAUAAGGAAAACAAGGAAACUAUAUCAGGAAAACGUUGGAAUUGAAUGUAUUCAAUUGACCCAUUAAAGGAAGAUCUUAGAGAGAGAGAGAGAGAGAGAGAGAGAUACCUGAUGAUGACCAUGAUGAUGAUGAUCAACAUCAUCAUAGUGUUGACUGGUUACUUUUUUGUGUAAAUUGCUAAAAAAUUUAAAAUUGCUUGAAGAAUAAUUAACCAACAAUUAAUAUAUUGCAAACAGUGUCAAGAUUUGUAUAUCCCUUGGAGCAAAUUCCCUCACGUAAAUCGCAAUUGAUUUAUGAUCAAUUACAAUGAUCAAAAGUAAUCAAGUAAUUGAAAGAAAGAGAGAAAUUAACUAAAUGAAAAUGGAAAAAUGCUCUUAAAUGAACAAUUUAAUUUGCUUUCAUUCAGCAAUCAAACUUGAAAGAGUUAACAAUCAACACCAAAGAUUCAUCAAAAUUGAAAAGUUACAAAUCAAAAAAAAAAGAAAUCAAAAGGAUCAAAAUACAAGGAGAGAUACUAAUCAAGUUAAUUGUGAUAAUUUGAGAAGACAUGUUACAAUUUCAGUCUCAAUUCUGGUUGUUGUUUAUUCUUGAUCAUUUCAACUGAUUUGAAAGAUUAACCUUUUGUUGAUUGACUGAAAAUGCAAGUAAACAAUUAAUUAGAACUGUUAAUUAGUGUGUCUCAUUUCAUAAUUAGCUAAUACUAUCAAUAUUUGAGCUGAGAUGAGGAGAAAAGUUGGAAAAAAAAAGAUGAAUCAAAAUUUUGAGCGAACAAAAGUUUUUCCAAUACAAUCAUGUUGUUCAGUGAUUAUCGUUUGGAAUGAGAUUUCAUGUAUCAAUAUCAUGGUGAUCAGUUUAAUUUUAUUGUAUUACCUUGAAAUGGAGAGGGAUGAACAGGGGAAAUCCAAUGGUCAACAGAUUUAAAGGAAAAGUCUGAAUGAAAAAAUUUUAAUCCAUUGAUGAAGAUGAAGAUGAAGAAGAUGAUGAUUUGGAUUUCCAAAAGGCAACCAUGCAAACUUGACAAGGAUACAUGAUGAUGAGGAUGAAAUGUUCAGGAUGAUCUGGAAAAAAGGAUGAUGAUUAUUAUAUGAAGAUGAACAAAAAGGGAAUUCCUUGAAUUCUGGUUGGCAUGAGGAUGAAAUAAUAAAGAUAAACACCCAACAUGAUGAUGAUUAUCAUGAGCAUCAUCUUUAUGAAUAAGUAGGAGAGAUGAAGAUGAUGAAAAUGAUGAUAUAUAUUGCUAAUUUGUUAAUCUUUAAAUUUAAAUUUCAUCACUUUAAUUGGCUGAUUAGGUGAAAAAUUGUUCCAAAGGGAAAAUAUUUCAUUCAUAUUUCCCUGAGUUGAGCUGAUUGUUGAUGAUGAUAAUUGAAUGAUGAGCAUUUGCUUUCUGUAUUAUUCAUCCUCAUUCAUCAAUUAGUUUGUUAUAAUUUAACCAAUAUUGGGAUUAACUGGCUUUCAGUUUAAUUAACUUGAUGAUGAUCAUCAUGAUUACAUUUUAAAUCAACUUAAUUGUUACAAUAAAAUGUUUCUUGGCUCUCAUGUUGCUUUUGCCUGAUUAUUAUUAUGAUAUCUUUUCAAUGGACCAAUGAAAAAAUUAAAUGUUACCCAACAUUUAAAUUGUUAGUUAAUCAUAAUUAACAUCAUAAUCAUCAUUCCGAUUUGGUAGAUUGAUUUUUCAAUGUUAUGAUUAAAUGAUUGAUCAUCAUCAUUAUUAUUAGAGAGAGAGAGAGACAAUGAAAUUUAAUUAUCAUUAAAUAUUAAGCAAUUAACUGUGUAUAAUUUGAUGAUAAAAUGAAAAUGUUAUUAUGAUCGAUAAGCCAGUUAAUUGUUACAAUUUACAUGUUGAUUAACAUUUAAAUUACAAUAACAAAUAUCAAAUUGUGUUGAUUUCAAAUUCAAUGGGUCAGAUCAAUAGUAUUAGUUUACACAAUUAGUUAACCAAAAUGGUAACAAUUAAUUUAGUUAUCAAAAUAAUUUCCCUUUUUUUGCUUCCCUAUUGUAUUAAACACUUAAUCAACAAGUUAAUCAACACAAUUAAUAAAUACUUUGAUUAUUAUUAUUAUGAUGUCUACCCUUAAUUGCCACAAUUAAUUGUUGUUAUUUUGUUGUUGUUGUUGUUGUUUUUUACUAUUACAUGUUUCAUUUUGAUUUGAUUGACAAUUAAAUGAUAUUGUUUCAUCUGAUUGUUUAAACAAUGACAAUUAAUUGAUAAUAAAUAUUAAUAAUCAUACACAAUGAUUAACAUUGUAACAAUUUAAUAAUAAACUUCAGAUGAUUUGAUGACAAUCAACAUUGGUCUAUGGGGAAGACUCAUCAUCAGACUUAAUUCAACUGGUUAAUUUAAAUUGUUGAUCAUUUAAAUCAACAGGUAAUCAAGUUAACUGUCAAUUGAUUAUUCCGUUAAUUGUGUCUGUUUAGUUAACAGAAAAGUAUUUAAAUUAUUCCCCUUGGUGUUAAAUCAAUUGACAUUCAACUUUUCUCAUUUCGAUCAAACUAAUUACAAUUAGUUAAUUAUCUCUCUCUCUCUCUUUUCUCUGUUAAUUGUCAUUGUAAUUGUAAUUUCUGACCUAAUUCUGAUUAAUUGUUUAUCUAUUGCCAACGAUGUAAGUUAACUAACAAUUUAAAUGUGUUUCCAUGAUUAUUGAUAACCGAUAAUCAAUUGAUUGUUACUGUUUCCUUUUGUUUGCUUGUCAAUUUGUUUCUCUUGUUCAAUGUUACAAUUAAAACUGUUUCAUUUCCGGAUUAUCUUCAUUUCCGUUAAUUGACAAAACCAAGAAACCAAAAAGAUGGUGAAAUAAUUAAAAUUAACCAUAAUAAUCAAUCAAUCGAUCGUUAAAAAAAACUGAUUAACACAUCAACUAUUAUUAAUACCAUAAUCAAGUUAUUAUCAUAACAUUAUGAGAGACAAACAAAAAACAUUGAGACAAGAAAAGUGAACAAUUAAAAGUAAACCAAAAUUUACGAUCAAUUUAAUUAGUACAUUGAUUGUUGAUUAUGUUAAUUGCUGCUGUUGAUGAUGUUAUUCAAGAUUAUGUUAAAUAUUAUUAUAACUUUGGCAGCUAAGGCAAGUUUAUUACAAUUAAAACAACCUAAUCAUCAGAAAAUCACAAUUUUAAAGACGAUCAUUAUAAUUGUAAUCCAACAGAAAGUAAACAAUUUAAAAGCAGCUCACAAAUUGUCUAGUAGCCAACAAUUGAAUCUUAAAUUAUAAUAAUUAAAAGGUGAACGCACAAUCAACUCUCUCUCUCUCUCUCUCUCUCUCUCUCUCUCUCUCUCUCUCUCUCUCUCUCUGUGUUUCUCAACAAUUAAGGUUAAACCAGUUAAAUUUCAAUACCAGUUUAUUAAUAGGUUAAUCCCAUAGGUUCAAUAGUUCGGGUUGAACAAUUAACGAAACUAUUAAAAGGUUGGAAAGAUGAAAAAAUGUCUCUCGAAAUUGUAGUUACGAAGAGAAAAAAAGUUAAUCGCAAAUCAAUAUAAUCAUGUAAACAUUGUAACAAUUUAACAAUUGACAGGAACAAUAUAAUCAUCAUAAUCAAUGCCAAUUAAUUGUCAACAAUCGAGAGAAAAAACUUAGAACUUAAAAUGUUCGCAAAGUUGAAUCGUCGGUGAAGCAAAAAAAGAAAAGUUUUUUUUUUCGUUACAACGAAAAUCGAGAAAACGAGAAAAAAGAGUUUGAUAAUUAUUUCAAACUCUUUUUCAUCUUCUCUGUCUUUUUCUCUUUCUAUUAUUUUUUCUCCUCCAUCAUCGUUUCUCCCUCGUUUUCUCGCAACUUUUUUUUUCUUCCAAAAUCCUUCAGAACUUUUUGGAAUCGUUGACCAGAUACAAGGACAUCAAGUCGACGACGAUAUUAAAACAUGAAGGUUUUUCUGUUCAUGGAAACCACUUUUUCUCCAUGUUGCUGAAUCGUUUUUAUAUCUUGAUACUAUUAUUAUUAUCUCAAAGUUACUAACACUUUUUUACUCAACUUUUUGCUGUUUGUUGUUCACAAUUAAUCAAAUAUCAUUGAGAUUAUGUUGAUGAUGAUGAUUUAGAGUCACUAGAGAUAAUCAUCAUCAGGAUAAACUAAUAAUAACUCAGGUAAACUAUAUCAUGUCAACGAUUUCGUUACAAGGUAACGAUAAGCAAUCAACGAAACUUUGUUUUUUUUUCUCACUCGCAAUUAUUAUCAUUGUUUUUUUUUCUUCGUCUUUUAAUUGUGCUGAUUGUUGAUUAUUUAUCUAAGACAAAUUGUUUCAAUGUUUUAACUUUUUUUUCUCGUUCUUUUCUCUUCAUUCAUAUAAUCAUAAUUAUCACUAACAACAAUUGAUUGCGGGUGCGUAGCAAUUAAAUUGAUUGUAAGUCAUUUCCAGAAAGUUUUGAUUCUCAUGUUGAUUAAUAUAUAUAAAUAUACAAUUAGAUUUUCAUCUGAUAAUUAGUUUGGGGAUGAUGAUGAUGAUGAUGAUGAUGAUGAUGAUGAUUAUUAUAAGGAUGAUGAUGAUGAUUUGGUGUGAUGAAUGAUGAUGAAUGAUGAUGAUGAUAAUUGUAAUCAACUGACUAACUUAUUCAAGGUAUUCAAGUUAACAAGAUGUUUGGUAAAAGCAGAAAAUAAAGUUUCAUCAUCAUCAAAGUUAAUCAUCAUGAUCGUAAUCUUAAUCAUCAAUAAUAGACGUAUUUAAAUUGCAAUUGAUUUAAACUACUUAGUUAAUUGUUAAUCUAAUGGAAAAUCAUUGAUAACAAUUUUUACCAACAACGAACACACAACAAAUCUAACAACAUGAUAAUAGCAAAUAAACACUUCGUUAAUUGUUUGAUAAUAUACAAUUAGAUUGCAUUUUAAUCAUAUGUUGAUGAUUUAAUUUAGUGAAAAAAAAAGGUAAUCCUAAAGUUUGUAAACACUUUAACAAAUUGUCAUUCGCUGUGUUGAUACAAUUAACUGUUAAUUGUUAGGUUGGCAAAACACUAGAUGCAAAGUUGAUUGACAAGAAGCAAAAAGGUGAAAACAAAAGUUUCAAUGGAAAGUUAAUUGUCACCAUUUCGUUGAUAUUUUUUUUACUAUUUAGACAAAACUGUUUACAAUCAUCAUCAUCAUCAUCAAGUCUUACUAAUUUGCUGUUGUCUUGUAGUUCCCAUCAUCAUCCUCAUCCUCAUCUACUGUUGACCUGAUUUUCUCGAUAUUUACCCCGAGAGGUCAAAGGCUAAACUACAAGUCUCCAUUAUCUUUACCGGAUGUCACUCGAUUGGAUGUUGAUAAUUCCCAUGAAAUAUCAGGGGAGAGAGAGAGAGACUCAUCAUCCGUAUCUUAAUCACGAUUACGAAGAUCAAAUCAAACGAUAAUGAGAUUAAUGAUUCAACAAUGAAUAUAAGAUAACAUCCUUAAUCUCUGUAUGAUUUACAUUUCCUUUGGAGAGGAACAUGAAAAAGAGGAAAAGGAAACAAGAAAAAAGAAAAAAAAAAUUUUUCUUCUCGUUCCAAGGAAACAUUUAAUUCUCACUCUCUCACUAAAUAUAUAUUUAUGUAUUCCACAUAUUGAGCCCCAUGUAAAAUCCAUUGGCCCAUGGAAUUGGUAAAUGUCUAGGUUAUCAUAUCCUACAAGUGAUUUAAAUGGUGAUCACUAAUUGCAGGCACCGGCUAACGAGGUUUAAUUGCUAUUGCAAUCUGUUUUCUUCUCAUUAAUUGUAAUUUGCAUAUUAGUUAAUCAAUUCAAUCGAACCAUGAAUUUCACACCUCGAUUCACUAGAUCUUAAUAUUAAUCAUAGGAAAAUUAAUCAUAAUUCUGAUUCUAAUCAUGAUCAAGUGUCUGCUAAUCAUUGAUACAAAUCAUAAUUUCAACUUGUUUCUCUCUCGCCUAUGUAAUAACAAUAUAAUCAUUUUUUUUGUUAAUUGUUGAAACAAACAACGAAAAUAAAUUGCUGAUUAAACA